GGGGAAUAUUGGACCAUGGGCGCAAGCCUGAUCCAGCCAUGUCGCGUGUGUGAAGAAGGUCUUCGGAUUGUAAAGCACUUUAAGUUGGGAGGAAGGGUUGUAGAUUAAUACUCUGCAAUUUUGACGUUACCGACAGAAUAAGCACCGGCUAACUUCGUGCCAGCAGCCGCGGUAAUACGAAGGGUGCAAGCGUUAAUCGGAAUUACUGGGCGUAAAGCGCGCGUAGGUGGUUCGUUAAGUUGGAUGUGAAAGCCCCGGGCUCAACCUGGGAACUGCAUCCAAAACUGGCGAGCUAGAGUACGGUAGAGGGUGGUGGAAUUUCCUGUGUAGCGGUGAAAUGCGUAGAGAUCUGGAGGAAUACCGGUGGCGAAGGCGGCUCCCUGGACGAAGACUGACGCUCAGGCACGAAAGCGUGGGGAGCAAACA
rnacentral:rRNA from 1 species